CACUGAUUCCUCCUUCCUGAUGAACCUUAAUGCCAUUAAUUUGGUGUUUUGGGGAAUUUGGACUGUUACUUUGAAAAAAUUAGAGUGUUUAAAGCAAGCUAACGCUUGAAUACAUUAGCAUGGAAUAAUGAAAUAGGACGUUCGAUCCUAUUUUGUUGGUUUCUAGGAUUGACGUAAUGAUUAAUAGGGAUAGUUGGGGGCAUUAGUAUUCAAUUGUCAGAGGUGAAAUUCUUGGAUUUAUUGAAGACUAACUACUGCGAAAGCAUUUGCCAAGGAUGUUUUCAUUAAUCAAGAACGAAAGUUAGGGGAUCGAAGACGAUCAGAUACCGUCGUAGUCUUAACCAUAAACUAUGCCGACUAGGGAUCGGAUGAUGUUAAUUUUUUAAUGACUCAUUCGGCGCCUUACG
rnacentral:rRNA from 1 species